UACGGGGGGGGCAAGCGUUGUUCGGAAUCACUGGGCGUAAAGGGCUUGUAGGUGGCCAUGUAAGUCAGACGUGAAAUCCCUCGGCUUAACCGGGGAACUGCGUCUGAUACUGGAUGGCUGGAGUGUGGGAGAGGGAUGCGGAAUUCCAGGUGUAGCGGUGAAAUGCGUAGAUAUCUGGAGGAACACCGGUAGCGAAGGCGGCAUCCUGGACCAAUACUGACACUGAAAAGCGAAAGCCAGGGGAGCAAACGGG
rnacentral:rRNA from 1 species